rnacentral:rRNA from 1 species
GAUGAACGCUAGCGGCAGGCCUAACACAUGCAAGUCGAGGGGUAACAUAGAAAAGCUUGCUUUUCUGAUGACGACCGGCGCACGGGUGCGUAACGCGUAUACAACCUACCUUUUAGCGGGGAAUAGCCCAGGGAAACUUGGAUUAAUGCCUCAUAGUAUAUAAGCUUCUCCUGAAGUUUAUAUUAAACAUUUAUGGCUAUUAGAUGGGUAUGCGUCCUAUUAGUUAGUUGGUAAGGUAACGGCUUACCAAGGCAGCGAUAGGUAGGGGUCCUGAGAGGGAGAUCCCCACACUGGUACUGAGACACGGACCAGACUCCUACGGGAGGCAGCAGUGAGGAAUAUUGGACAAUGGGCGAGAGCCUGAUCCAGCCAUGCCGCGUGCAGGAAGACUGCCCUAUGGGUUGUAAGCUGCUUUUACAGAGGAAGAACCACCCCCACGUGUGGGGGUUUGACGGUACUCUGCGAAUAAGGAUCGGCUAACUCCGUG